rnacentral:misc_RNA from 1 species
UUAAGUUCAGCGGGUAGUCCCACCUGAUUUGAGGUCAAAGUUUCAUGAAGUGUCCCGGAAGACGGUUUGAAGCGCGUCCCACAAGGAGCUACGUGACCAGAAGCGUAGAUAUUUAUCACACCAAAGGUACGUUGGCAACGAGCCGCACUAAUGCAUUUGAGAGGAGCCGAUCCUAGGACCGGCAAAGGGCCUCCAAGUCC